rnacentral:rRNA from 1 species
AGUUUGAUCAUGGCUCAGAUUGAACGCUGGCGGCAUGCCUUACACAUGCAAGUCGAACGGCAGCACGGGGGCAACCCUGGUGGCGAGUGGCGAACGGGUGAGUAAUGCAUCGGAAUGUACCCAGUAGUGGGGGAUAACUAGUCGAAAGAUUAGCUAAUACCGCAUACGCACUAUGGUGGAAAGCGGGGGAUCGCGAGACCUCGCGCUAUUGGAGCAGCCGAUGUCCGAUUAGGUAGUUGGUGGGGUAAAGGCCUACCAAGCCUGCGAUCGGUAACUGGUCUGAGAGGACGACCAGUCACACUGGGACUGAGACACGGCCCAGACUCCUACGGGAGGUAGCAGUGGGGAAUUUUGGACAAUGGGGGAAACCCUGAUCCAGCAAUGCCGCGUGAGUGAAGAAGGCCUUCGGGUUGUAAAGCUCUUUCAGCCGGAAAGAAAACGCACGGGUUAAUAACCUGUGUGGAUGACGGUACCGGAAGAAGAAGCACCGGCUAACUACGUG